rnacentral:rRNA from 1 species
GACGAACGCUGGCGGCGUGCUUAACACAUGCAAGUCGAACGGAAAGGCCCUGCUUUUGUGGGGUGCUCGAGUGGCGAACGGGUGAGUAACACGUGAGUAACCUGCCCUUGGCUUUGGGAUAACUUCAGGAAACUGGGGCUAAUACCGGAUAGGAGCUCCUGCUGCAUGGUGGGGGCUGGAAAGUUUCGGCGGUUGGGGAUGGACUCGCGGCUUAUCAGCUUGUUGGUGGGGUAGUGGCUUACCAAGGCUUUGACGGGUAGCCGGCCUGAGAGGGUGACCGGCCACAUUGGGACUGAGAUACGGCCCAGACUCCUACGGGAGGCAGCAGUGGGGAAUAUUGCACAAUGGGCGGAAGCCUGAUGCAGCAACGCCGCGUGCGGGAUGACGGCCUUCGGGUUGUAAACCGCUUUCGCCUGUGACGAAGCGUGAGUGACGGUAAUGGGUAAAGAAGCACCGGCUAACUACGUG